UUGGAGGGCAAGUCUGGUGCCAGCAGCCGCGGUAAUUCCAGCUCCAAUAGCGUAUAUUAAAGUUGCUGCAGUUAAAAAGCUCGUAGUUGAAUUUCGGGACCAAUAUGUCGGUCGUGCCUCGGUACGUACUGGCAUCGUUGGUUUCUCCCUUCUGACGAAUCAUGAUGUCAUUUAUUUGGUGUCGUGGGGAAUCAGGACUGUUACUUUGAAAAAAUUAGAGUGUUUAAAGCAGGCUCACGCUUGAAUACAUUAGCAUGGAAUAAUGAAAUAGGACGUUUGAUUCUAUUUUGUUGGUUUCUAGGAUCGACGUAAUGAUUAAUAGGGAUGGUUGGGGGCAUUAGUAUUCAAUUGUCAGAGGUGAAAUUCUUGGAUUUAUUGAAGACUAACUACUGCGAAAGCAUUUGCCAAGGAUGUUUUCAUUAAUCAAGAACGAAAGUUAGGGGACCGAAGACGAUCAGAUACCGUCGUAGUCUUAACCAUAAACUAUGCCGACUAGGGAUCGGAUGAUGUUAAUUUUUUAAUGACUCAUUCGGCGCCUUACGGGAAAC
rnacentral:rRNA from 1 species